rnacentral:rRNA from 1 species
GUGUCAGCAGCCGCGGUAAUACGGAGGGUGCAAGCGUUAUCCGGAUUCACUGGGUUUAAAGGGAGCGUAGGUGGGUUGGUAAGUCAGUGGUGAAAUCCCCGAGCUUAACUUGGGAACUGCCAUUGAUACUAUCAGUCUUGAAUACUGUGGAGGUUAGCGGAAUAUGUCAUGUAGCGGUGAAAUGCUUAGAUAUGACAUAGAACACCAAUUGCGAAGGCAGCUGGCUACACAAUUAUUGACACUGAGGCUCGAAAGCGUGGGGAUCAAACAGGAUUAGAUACCCCUGUAGUCC